GGCCUGGUGGUCUAGUAGUAUGAUUCCUUGUUAGGGUUGCCGAAUUAGUUGAUUUGGUGAUAUUCGAGGAGGUCCCGGGUUCAAUUCCCGGCCAGGCCC